UACGUAGGCAGCAAACGUUGUUCGGAAUUACUGGGCGUAAAGAGUGUGUAGGCGGCUUUGCAAGUUUGGUGUGAAAUCUCCCGGCUUAACUGGGAGGGUGCGCCGAAAACUGCAAGGCUCGAGUGCUGGAGAGGAGAGCGGAAUUCCUGGUGUAGCGGUGAAAUGCGCAGAUAUCAGGAAGAACACCCGUGGCGAAGGCGGCUCUCUGGGACGGUACUGACGCUGAGACGCGAAAGCGUGGGGAGCAAACAGG
rnacentral:rRNA from 1 species